rnacentral:rRNA from 1 species
GAUGAACGCUGGCGGCGUGCCUAAUACAUGCAAGUCGAGCGAACAGACGAGGAGCUUGCUCCUCUGAUGUUAGCGGCGGACGGGUGAGUAACACGUGGAUAACCUACCUAUAAGACUGGGAUAACUUCGGGAAACCGGAGCUAAUACCGGAUAACAUGUUGAAUCGCAUGGUUCAACAGUGAAAGACGGUCUUGCUGUCACUUAUAGAUGGAUCCGCGCCGCAUUAGCUAGUUGGUAAGGUAACGGCUUACCAAGGCAACGAUGCGUAGCCGACCUGAGAGGAUGAUCGGCCACACUGGAACUGAGACACGGUCCAGACUCCUACGGGAGGCAGCAGUAGGGAAUCUUCCGCAAAGGGCGAAAGCCUGACGGAGCAACGCCGCGUGAGUGAAGAAGGUCUUCGGAUCGUAAAACUCUGUUAUUAGGGAAGAACAAAUGUGUAAGUAACUAUGCACGUCUUGACGGUACCUAAUCAGAAAGCCACGGCUAACUACGUG